GGAGGAAUGCAGCAAAAAGCAUGAGGAAAAAAUGGAGAAGACAGAGAGUUAUGGGGAAAUAGGAGAUUCCUUAUCAGCUAGAACUUGUGCUGUAUGCAGCAAGAAGGCAGGAUUUCUGCUCUAUUCAGUGCCUGCACAUCCAUACACUCACACAAAUGAAUACACACGUGCAGAGAAUGUUCUGGUUUCUGAUAGUUUCCAGUCCCAUUUUGCUUUUUCCUGGGGACAGGUAUGUGAACCAAAAUAAAAGCGCAGACGGCAUUAUUCCAGUUGCGGUUCACACCUAGCUCUGGCGUUUAAGAAGCUUUUCCCAUCUCAGUGGUGAGCUACAGACUCCUAAAGUCUGAAAAGCGACUCAAUCGGGCACCGUUCCGGAGCCAGACGGGACAGGCGCGGCCUCCUGCUCAUGCGGCGUUCUCGUGCUGCCAUCGCGUGGGGAAGAGCCCCGUUCCGUCACCUCGCGUGGAGGUGGGCGCUAACGUCAGCUGUGCAGAGUCGUAACGUGGGCUCUUUGUAUCCCCAUCUUUCUGUUUUGUUUUUUUUUUUUUUCUUUCCUUGUUUUUAUUUUCUUCUAAAUUUAGAUAUCUUUCAUCCAAGCGGCAUGAAUGUGAUUAAAGCAGCAAGACAUUAUGGGAAAUCGGUGUUCCCACGGUUCCCUCGGAGGCUCUCCCCACACACAACCGCCCGGGCAGGCGCUCACUCCCCUCGCCCCGCCGCGGCCGCCGGGUUGCCCCGCACAGACCCGCGCUCUCCGCGCCUCCCUCAGCGCGCUGCGGCCGCUCUCCAAUAGCUCCACGAGGGGGCGCUCGAGCGCCGCCACCCAACGGCUCCCGGAAAGCCGGAAAAAGGGAAAGGUGGGAAAGGCUUCCUUGGCUUUCUCUGUCAGCAGCUUGUAUGCUUUCUGGGCUCCUUGUCAGCUCCCUAAGGAAGAGCUGACCAUGGGUCAGAAAGCCAGCAAACCUGAGAGACCCCAGAAACUUAAGUAUUUGGCCAGAAAGAGGGAAAGAACCACAGAAUGGGGCCACAAUGCAGCCAGUGUAAACAUGAGCUUCACAACACUGUUCAUAUCUGUGAAGAUGGUGAUGCUGGCUAUUUAGAUGCCUAAUGGGAAACCCAAAGGUCCAGCUUGAGGUGUAAGUUUCAAAAUGCUGUCCUAAGUUCCUCAUCAGUGCUCACAGUCAAUCAGUGAAAGAAGAGUGACCGCGUUCCAGAGCACUGCAUUCCUACCACUUGACUGGAUGUUGGAGAACAGAAUGAGAAAAAAUAAUUGUAGGGUAAUAAAUUCUUGCCUUGAAUGUUUUCA
ensembl:lncRNA